GAUGAAAAUCCUGAAAGUCACUGUGUAAGGCAGGGGCCCCGUAUCACCUUGGCCUUGGGCCUUCUGUAAGAGAUCCCAUGUUUAUUCAAAUGAAUCUUCCAGCGGCCUGUGGCUAAAGCCAGAAGAAUUCAGGGGGAGUUUUUCUAGUGCUUCCAGGAGGCCAAGAAUUCGCACCUGAAUAGCUAAGUGAUCACUAAGUGCAUUCCUUUAAAAUUUGUUUAGCACUGGUUUGACAGCUUUCCAUAUGCUUCUUCCCUGUUAGGAAAGUUACAUGUGAGCCACGUAAACCUAUCUCAGUAGCUUCUUUUAAAACUAGCUUUAGGGUUCAGCUGUCCAUAUGUCACACGCAGUCUGCCUUGCUGCAGAACAUGCUGCAGUGGGAGCUUUUAUUACUUGCUAUUACACAGCUGCCUGCUGGAACUAGAGGGAGUACAAAACAACCAAAGAGGCUAAAGACUAACCAAGUUUUGUUUAUCAUGGAUUUGAUCUACUGACAUGCAGGUGAGAGGCUCCGUAUAUUAGUACUCAUCCCUCAUUACUCCUCUUUGAGGAAAUGCUCUAGGAACCUAUUUUUGUGUUUCUGAAAUCAUCUGGAUGGACCCUGUGUGUAUUGAAUGCAAAGUAGUUAAGGGAUUUGGCUGCAGAAAACCUUAAUCACCUUGGUCUUUGGCAAAGUGAGCAGUGGUGAGAAGUCUAAUCUACAGUUAAUCUCUUCAGAUAAUAAAGAUAACAGUACUGUCGGAAAAUAGAAGCUCUGAAUGGAACAAAUAAACGAGAAGAAACCACUGAGUCCUGGGUAACAGAACCAAAACACAGGAUGGAUGAACUACAAACUGAAAAAAUGAUCAUCUUUUAGGCACGACACUUUUUGCAACAGGUGACUGACUAAAAGAUAGAAGAUAUGCAGGUAAUGCAACUCAAACACUCUAUUUGAAGCCUUAGUUAAUGAGGAAUGAUGAAUAAUGCAUUGACUAUUAUAGAAGCGUUACAUAAAUCAACAGCACACACCUGCAAUAUUCUACUCACCGCCAAAAGAGACACAGAGGAGGUCUCAGAGUUAAGUAAUGAAUGUGACCAGGGGCAGAAGAAAGUUUCUGUACAGAGAGAGACUGAGGUUUUUGAGGUCAGAAUGAAGAUGCUUAAGAAAAAUCAGAAAAUGAUCAAAAAACUGGAUCCAAUCAAUUACUGAAUAUUGGUUCAGUAUUUCAGAGGCUAUGUAGAUCUGUAGCAUCAGCUUUGCGCACUGUUGACCUAAUCCUUUUGCUGCCAUGUAUAUGCAAUGAUUUUGAGGAAUGUCAAAGCUGGGGGAAAACUGGCACAGAUUAACAUCAGACUGAAAAGGUAUGAUUCUGAAGAGGUAAAGUCCAGCUCACAUCUCAUAGAGGAGAAAAGAGAAACCUGGGCACUCACUGAGGGAGUUGCUGAGACCAGGAAUUAAUGUUUCACAAAAUGAAAGAGGUAGAAGGAAGUAAUUUUAAUCAACAUCAGUUUAUUUAGUUACAGAAGACCAAAUGAAAUGUAACAAGUGGAUGUGAGAAUUAAAUCGCUAAGUGAACUGCCUAUGAUUUCACAGUUACUUUGCAAGAAUUCAAAUAAGCUAAAGUUUAAGACAUUGCAAUAAUUGCUGAAAAACAGCUAAGUCAAACUCUGUGCUCUUGCACCAGUUAAAGCUUAUUGUUUUCUCCUGUGAUAAAGGUAACACUGAAUGGGAAAUAAACCCAGAUCCUGCAAAACUUACAUCUUGUCACACUUCUCAUUUUGCAAACUUCACGAGCAAAAAAGAAAAGGAAGAACCACUACAGGACACAUUUUAUGAAGGAAAAUAUCAGUCUCUUUUGGAACAGUUCACUCUCAGCAGUGGAACCAAUUCAAUUGCAGUUCAAAUGGGGAUCUUUGUUAUAAAAUAAAACAGUGAUCUACUGCCCAAACGCAGGUGAAAAGAACUGUCACAUAGCACACUGCAUCAUUACCAGGGAGCCUGGGUAACCCUAUCUAUAGUUAAAGCCCUGAAUAUUGUGGCCCAAUCUCUCUCAUUUGUUACGCGUGUGAAAUGGCUUUAAGGGACUUUAGGAGAGAGUUGGCCCAAAAUAAGAUAAAAUGGAUGACUUGACCACUUUGCUUCCUUCUGCACAAACUAACUAACUAAUUAAAUUGCUCACUGCAAAGCAGUUGCCCUUCAAAUGCCUACUCAGCUUAGGAGACCAUACAGUAGUCUAAUUCCUAGCCAGUGAAGUCAGGCUGUCACCACGGCAGCAGGGUGUAAAUCUCCACUGUAUGAAAAGGCCCAGGCUGAUAAAGCAGAUUGUUGUACAUCUGUGUCUGCGUCUACACAAAGUAAGAAAGAACGGCUUAGGGAGGGGGCGAGGGAGAGCAAAUAGCCCACCAAAACCUUUACCAGGGCGACCACGGGUGAGCUGCCAGUUAGAUCGCAUGAGCACGGCAGGCGGGCUGAAGGAUGCUUCUGAGCACAGGGUGUGGGGUCACAGGAAGAGGAGGCAGACAGGAUGGGAAGGGAUAAUCCAGUAAAGGAACAUCACCCCGUGCCAGCUGAUUCUGGCAUCAUACUGUGAUGUUGUCCCUCAGGGGAAAAAAGCUCAUUCCAGCCUGACCUCGGUCUAAACAUUACAGUUAUUGCACAGAGAAAAGCUCAGAAAAAGCCAGCGCUUUUGCUCCAGCCUGCACUCCAGACUUACAGGCUGGGGCCCAUGAGCUGGCAGCAUACACAUCUAUAAAGACGGGGAAAGUGACAGUCUCCUUUUAAUCAGUUUAAGUCUGGCACCAGGUCAAGCUUUUCUUUAUCCUUUUCCAGUGAAACUGGAGUCUUUUCUUCUUUCUUUUCAUUAAAAUAAAUGAAUGUAUGAUUAAUGAUCCUGGAGCCUGAUAUCUCCCACGUAUUCAGAGAUUAGCUACAGCAGUGGCUACUGCCAAAACAGCACAUGCUGAUGUGUUGCAACCUUAAUCUCCAGACUCUGCUCUAAGGGCAAGAAGCCCAUUUCCAUGGCCUCAUCAGCCACUGGCCUCUUUGCUGCUGUGGAGGAACGAGCACAGUGGUGAUCUUGUAAAGAGAGGCUCUUACCUGCUAGGAAUCGAGCUGUGGCCCACCUGUUCAUCCCAGUGAGGGUGCUGAGAGACAAAGCAGCAGCAACACACAGAAUUACACAAUGACAAUGUAGCAAAACACAGGCAAAAUUGAGAUGAAAAUUAACCGAGCAAUUAAAACCCUUAAUUUUACCAUCUGGGCACACUGGUUCCCUUUGAGAAUGGGCAGUUCCUACAGAGCUUAAUUCUGUAUUGGAGAGGGUGUUGAACUGAAUCCAAGCAGAAAACCAGUUUGAACUGAUAUUUUUAAUCUCAGACCACACAGAAACUUUUAUUUUGAUGAUUUUUCUGCAGCUGAGCCAGAAUGAGCAAACAUUGAUUCUUCUGCUUCAGAAUAACAGAUCAAAAUUUGACAUCGUCACCAGGGACCUUCCUGCAUGGGAACAGCUUGUGUCUAGCAGGGCCUGAACCUCACAUCUUUUGCCAUUCAAAAGCCUUCACAUCUCUCCUAGGAUGUUCUGCUUGCCCAGAUGCUGCUUUGCUCUGCAGACCUUUACAGCAGGCUGUUCACCAGAGCAACUUUUUCACUUGCCUAAAGCGAUUCUCCUCACCAGAGAAAUUGGCCAAUUUUCUUUACUCCCCUAUGCAAAAUGACCUGGGAGGCUGCAGAGUCAUCUCUGUAUCUGCUAUUCCCAGCCCAAGCUCCUGCAUACACCCUUAGGUGCACAUUAGAUCAAUGUUCAUGCACUGUGGAGUCACAGGGUAAUCAGGAAAGGCAAAGAAACCUCCAGUCCUUCACCACUGGUGCUCUUCGCUUUCCCUUCCCUGCAAAAAUACUGUAACUCUCCACCUUUGUGCUGCUGGAGAAAAACUCCGGUUUGUCUUCUCAACAAGGCAGAUAUGGGGAUGUACAGAGAAAUGGUCAUACGGUUGUGUUAGAAAUGGGUAUCACUGCAGCUCUAGCAGAGAAACAGGAGAUCAACACGGUCUUGUCUUGAGACUCUGCAUGUAAUGGAAUCCUCAAUGGCACUGAAAGCUCCCAAUAACAUCAGUGCCAGAUUACAGACUUCUCUGUGAACAUCAUACUUCUUUUUUUUAACCCAUAUUCUGUGUCAUCCUUACCCUGAGGCCACACACCUUCCUGGGCUUCUCUUUGCCCAUCUGCACAGACUUAACUUCAGCAGAUGAUGAGAAAGACACCAAAAACUAAUGGAGUACGGUGGACCAGAGUAAACCACAGGAUCACAGCCUUUAGCUGCCCCAAAACAGAAUUAUCAUCGUCUUCCUUAAUUGCACAGACCUGUGCAGUCUGUAUUUGCUGCAUGACCAGUGGACCACCACUGUAAGGUCACCAGAAAGCCUAGAGUUUGACCUCUCCAUGAACAACAGAUUAUGUAAGUUUCUACAAACUGAAAGUCCUGGAAACAAAGCAAUAUAUUGUAUCUGAGACGGGUCUCCCAGUUAAGUACUUCUGGGUACUAUUUCCUUCCUGUUCCCCUACGAAGACAGACAGGUUUUCUUUUAAGAAGUCUCCUCAUCCUUGGUUCAACUUUGUUUUACAAAGAGAAUUAAGCAGGAGCACAAAGCUGGAGAUUGUGGGUAACUGGCAAGAUCAAACUAUGAGAGUUGUUUUAAAAGUUACUUGAUACAUAAUGAAUUGCAAAUUCAGUAGAGUACCAGCUGGAAACAGCUAAGCCCUUUACCAGCAUGAGAUGGGAAAGAACAAUGACGAAAUGAGCGAACAAUGCAGACCUGGAGAAAAAACUUCUGGCACAGCAGGGCAACAUAAGCAUGUUAUAUAGAGAACUGGUCCUUGGGUGAAGACACAGAUCCUAAAGAUGACCCCAGACAGAACCCCAGUUGAGGUACGUGGAGAAAUACACAGGAUGGCUGCGUGGUCUGAAGCCUGAGCUGUGAGCCAAAAGUCUCCGGUUUCCCUUUUUCCCAGUUGAGCUUGUCCCAAUCCUUUUCUGACACACAAGCAACCAUACCGAGGAAGUUACGAUCUGCAGUCAAACCAUGCCUGCCUCCCUCUGUCAGCUGGCCAUGCCAGAGGCCACGGAGGACCUUGUCUCAAACUGCAUGUUCUGGGAGCGUGCCCCCGGCACAACUGCCCUUCCACAGCCUGCAGCUGCUCAGCGUUUCUCUACUCCCCUCCAGCGUGCUCCCCUGUCCUGUACCGAACACCAACACACUCCCCAAGAAGGAUGAGCGUUGGAAACUAAAGUAUUCACCUUGGGGACUGAAAAGGAGAUGAAGGUUCUUUAAUACCUCAGCUACAGGCCUCUAGUUACAGAUCUUUUUUGUGGUUAUGGCCUAAAAUCUCCCCCUACAUUCUGAUGCACCAUUUUGCUCUAAAAAUAUUAGAUGUUUACAUGUAUAUUAGACCAUGGAGAAUUGAAUGAGAAUAUGUAGUAGGAGUGAUUUACUUAUGCAAUGAGUGUUCGAACACCAUCCCCAAACAAUUAUUUUCUGUUUUGGUGGGGAGAACAGACUGAAUUGUCUGUUUCAGAGUCAAUAAUGUUGCUAAUGAUGAGGGAUUUAAAAUAUACUUCUUGGCAAUAUAGUUGUUCCAUAAAACAGGAAUGCUCUUGGAUUCAGUUCUGUACUUCUUAAAUUUAUGAUUUACCCUGGACAAAAAUCUUUAAAAAUUAUAAUAUGGUGAUAAAUUAUGAAUAUUGGGCCAAAUGCUUCGCCUCUUAAGCAUUUUUUCUCACAGUCUUCCUCUAGGCUCCAUUAAGAAGAAGUUAAUGUGUGUCUCAGAAUUUGUUAUUUCUUAAUAAACAACACGCAGUGGUAGCAGACUUCAAAAAGACAGCUUUACUAUCAUAUGAUAUACUUCAGUUUCAGAAAUAAUUGACUUUGAAAGCAGACAUGCUUGCACUGGAUUACCUACUUUUCCUCUCUAGAUCCUGGAUGGCAACUUAUACUUGCCAUGUCUCCUUGAAACCUGAAAUAAGCUGGAUCCAAUUUAUACUUUUAAAGAUCCUAGCUAACCUUGUCUGAUUUAUUCCUUAUUCUUUCCAUAUAUCUAGAAAAAAAGCUGAGUUUAAACAAAAUUCAGUCCAUCAGUUGAGAGGCAGAAGUACAUAACUUCUAAGACAAGGACUAAGUGAAUGCUACCCUCUACCUUUUUUGGGGGGCAGAGGAAGAUGUUAGUAAUUUUCCAGAAUUAUUUGAUUCACUUUGCCCAGAUAUUGUGAAUAAUAAUAAUAACUUGAUAAGAAGACUCCAAUAAGACUCUUUUCCCCUCCUUCUUCUGACCCUCACUGCAGUAAAACUAGCUGUCCACUAUGAAAUAAAUGCCUUCUGUGAUCACCCCUGCAAAAGAAAGAGCAUUGCUGAUGAAACAAAAUGUACAGGAAUUGCUUGCUUUCUGUGUCUCCUUCAUAAAGGCAUUACUUUGGAUCCUUUUUUCUCUUCUUAAAAAAAAAAAAAAAAAAAAAAAAAAAAAGGAAAAAUAUACACUCCCUCGCUUCAUGUUAAAAACAAACAAACAAAAAAAACAAAAAAAAAAACAAACAAAAAAAAAAAACAUUAUACGAGAGAGAAUUUCUCUGAAGAAAUUAAAAUUGAGAGCUAGUAGGUCAGAGCUUAACCACAGUUUGCAAGGAACUCAGCCACUUAAGGACUGGGGACAAGCUCAUGAGGAUCUCCAAGUCCAUAUCCCUGAUGCAUUUCUAUAAUCUCUGACAUGGACAAAUGCAUUGCUGAUAUUAGGCCCCACAUCAGCAUUAUCCUUCACAGAUUUGGCUCAUUCAGUUGAAGAAUUUUUAGAGAGGUUUAGCUCUAAGUAUUUCACUCAACAUUGACAUUCACAGUAAAGUUUUCAUCCUUGGAGCUCUAAUUUCUUCAUGAUUUCAAACCAAAAUUAUUUCAGUUUAUUUCAAUGCAAGUAGAGGCAAUGAAACCUAAGGAUGUGGCGAUGUUUUCUCAUAUGACAAAACUAGCUUAACUUAUUUUUUCCAAUUGAAAUAUUUCAAACCACUGGAAUGUAUUGUAGUCUAGAUCUUUUGUGCAUUUGGGAUUAAAAAUAGCCAAGAUACUUCAUUUUUGAAAUAGUCUUCUGUAUCAGAGAGCUAAUUUUUUCCUCCUAAUAAAAGUUAAUUAAAAUCUGCUGGA